rnacentral:rRNA from 1 species
CGGGAGAGCUCAAAUUUGAAAUCUGGCAGUCUUCGAUUGUCCGAGUUGUAAUCUAUAGAGGCGUUUUCCGUGCCGGACCGUGUCCAAGUCUCCUGGAAAGGAGUAUCAAAGAGGGUGAUAAUCCCGUACUUAACACGACCACCGGUGCUCUGUGAUACGUCUUCUACGAGUCGAGUUGUUUGGGAAUGCAGCUCAAAAUGGGUGGUGAAUUCCAUCUAAAGCUAAAUAUUGGCGAGAGACCGAUAGCGAACAAGUACCGUGAGGGAAAGAUGAAAAGCACUUUGGAAAGAGAGUUAAACAGUACGUGAAAUUGUUGAAAGGGAAACGAUUGAAGUCAGUCGUGUUCUUUGGAUUCAGCCAGUUCUGCUGGUCUACUUCCUUUGAACGGGUCAACAUCAGUUUUGUCCGGUGGAUAAAGGCAGUAGGAAUGUAGCUUCUCCGGAAGUGUUAUAGCCUAUUGUCACAUACACUGGGUGAGACUGAGGACUGCAGCUCGCCUUUAUGGCCGACCUUCGGGUACGUUCGAGCUUAGGAUGUUGACAUAAUGGCUUUAAACGACUCGUCUUGAA